UACGUAGGUGGCGAGCGUUGUCCGGAAUUACUGGGUGUAAAGCGCGCGUAGGCGGUCAGGUAAGUCCGGUGUGAAAGUCAAAGGCUCAACCUUUGAAUGCCGCUGGAAACUGCCUGACUUGAGUCCGGAAGGGGCGAGUGGAACUCCGAGUGUAGAGGUGAAAUUCGUAGAUAUUCGGAAGAACACCAGUGGCGAAGGCGGCUCACUGGCCCGGUACUGACGCUGAGGUGCGAAAGCGUGGGGAGCAAACAGG
rnacentral:rRNA from 1 species